rnacentral:misc_RNA from 1 species
AACCUAGCACACCUGCGGUGUGUACCUGCGGAAGGAUCAUUAACGAAUCUAAAGUCGAUGCGUUGUGCUGGUGGCAACACAUGUGCACGCGUGUCGCAUACAUCCACACACCUGUGAACCCUAGACUCUGUGGUCGAUCGAACGCCCGGACUCGUCCAUCGCGUGUGGGGACUUUACGUCCUCCGUUCGCCCAGGGUAAUUUUUACACACGCCGAAUGUGAUAGAAUGUAUCUGUGCAUA